GACGAACGCUGGCGGCGUGCUUAACACAUGCAAGUCGAACGGUGAAGCUCCAGCUUGCUGGAGUGGAUCAGUGGCGAACGGGUGAGUAACACGUGAGCAACCUGCCCCUGACUCUGGAAUAAGCGCUGGAAACGGCGUCUAAUACUGGAUACGAGAAGGGUCCGCAUGGGCACUUUCUGGAAAGUUUUUCGGUUGGGGAUGGGCUCGCGGCCUAUCAGCUUGUUGGUGAGGUAAUGGCUCACCAAGGCGACGACGGGUAGCCGGCCUGAGAGGGCGACCGGCCACACUGGGACUGAGACACGGCCCAGACUCCUACGGGAGGCAGCAGUGGGGAAUAUUGCACAAUGGGCGAAAGCCUGAUGCAGCGACGCCGUGUGAGGGAUGACGGCCUUCGGGUUGUAAACCUCUUUCAGCAGGGAAGAAGCGAAAGUGACGGUACCUGCAGAAGAAGCACCGGCUAACUACGUG
rnacentral:rRNA from 1 species